rnacentral:rRNA from 1 species
UACGUAGGUGGCAAGCGUUGUCCGGAUUUACUGGGCGUAAAGAGCGCGCAGGCGGUCGUUCAAGUCGCGUGUGAAAGCCCCCGGCUCAACUGGGGAGGGUCACGCGAUACUGAUCGACUCGAAGGCAGGAGAGGGUAGUGGAAUUCCCGGUGUAGCGGUGAAAUGCGCAGAUAUCGGGAGGAACACCGAUGGCGAAGGCAGGUCUCUGGGCCACUACUGACGCUGAGAAGCGAAAGCAUGGGGAGCGAACAGG